GACGGGGGGUGCGAGCGUUAAUCGGAAUUACUGGGCGUAAAGAGCUCGUAGGCGGCUUGGCAAGUCGGAUGUGAAAUCACCAGGCUCAACCUGGUGUCGCCAUCCGAUACUGCCAUGGCUUCGAGUCCGGUAGAGGACCGUGGAAUUCCUGGUGUAGCGGUGAAAUGCGCAGAUAUCAGGAGGAACACCGAUGGCGAAGGCAGCGGUCUGGGCCGGCACUGACGCUGAGGAGCGAAAGCGUGGGGAGCAAACAGG
rnacentral:rRNA from 1 species